CACAAUAAAUGGCUCAAGUGGAAAGUCCCAAGUGAAGCUAAGCCUUUACUGAAGCCAAGACUUUCAGGUCAUCGGAAAAGAUGCCAAGUAACCUGGAAUAUUAUGUACACAUCAGAAAUGUCAGUUGGAAGUUCCCCUGGGAAUAUAUUGCAAGAAGAAAUCUCUGAUUCGACAGCCAUCAAUGGCUCCUUGGAAAUGCCCAACAACAACAACCACUAGAACAAUCUAUAAGUAGCCAGCAUGGCUUGUUGCUCAGACAAGUCGCCCUGUGGAAAACAGUCUGGGUUUGCACAACAUAACCUACAAUGGCUUGUCACUCACAAGAGAUUGUGGUGUCACAUGAGCCCAGCCCUUAUCUCUGUCAACAUAUUCCUAACAUAGUGAAAUAUGUGAAGCAACAUUUCAGUUUACUUGAGAGUUAUAUUUAUAUUUUGAUAACUUGGUAACUUUGAU